rnacentral:ncRNA from 1 species
AUCAUACAUCUAUAGAGAAGGGUAACCUUCACCAACCAGCCAAGACUUGGCAACGGUGGUUCAACGAUGUGGCUUUUGAAGCAACAAUAAAGUCAGAU